CCAGGUUCGUCGUCUGACAACAAGUAAUCACACUGCAGCAGCGCUCGGCAGAUUCAUCACCGUGGAUACCAUACAGCAGCAUCUCGUUGAUUGUUGUAAUAUGCCGUAUGGUCAGUAAUUGACCAUCUCUGCGUGGAUUUAUCAGCCUGGUUUCGGACUUUUAAGAUUCAACGUGUUGUGAUCAGUGUCCAUGUUAUGAAUCAUGUGUGUCACUUAUCCAUAAGCUGCCACAUCAGUUCCUGCAUUUUCCUCUCAAACAUAGUGUCUACUCCAUCAGGUUAUUGACAAGGUUGCUGCAAAUGAUCACCGCCAUACCCUAACCCCUUGGACAGUCUUAAUCAUAAGUGGUGGCUUCGUCUAAGGAAAGAUUCUUGUACAUGUCGUGUGGCUGCUCUGCUAAGCUGUGCACAAUGGAGGUUCUGUCCAUGAUCAAGCACAGCCUUGUGGCAGAUGGCAGCAACCCAAUUACCAAGUACUUCCAGAUAGGGAAACAUGUGGCCAGUGCUGGACCGGAGCUUGUUUGGAAAAUAUUCGAUGCUGUUAGAAUUGAGGAUAAACAGGAAGCCUCAGUUUUUAUAUUCGAGAAGCGAGUUGCUGACAAACUUCAUAAGCCGCGGAGAAGGGAAACAGUUGCUGAAAUUUUACGAAAGGAGGUCAAACAUUUGGAGAAGUACAAACACCCAAAGAUUCUUCAGUUAAUGCAUCCCCUUGAAGAAUGCCAUGACAGCUUAGCCUUUGCUACGGAGCCUGUUUUGGGAAGCUUGGCUAAUUUCCUUGGAAACUCCGAAAGAAUGCCGAACCCAUUGCCACCAGAGAUCAAGGACAAUGAAUUUUUAGAAGUGGAAGUCAAAUAUGGAAUCCUUCAGAUAACUGAAGCACUCACAUACCUACAUGGGGGUGAGCAGCUCCUACACAGUAACAUCAACCCACAGUCCAUAAUAAUCACUAGAAAGGGUGCUUGGAAGUUAUCAGGACUUGGUUUUGCUGAGAAAACAGCUGAUGGAAAGGACUCAUUCCAAUGUACUCCAUGGACUAACAAGUCACCUAAGAUGGCCCAGCCUGACCUCGACUACAUCGCACCUGAGCUUCAAUUGGAGAAGAAUUGUACAUUCUUAUGUGAUAUGUUCUCUUUGGGCUUGGUGAUAUGUGCCAUAUAUAACGGUGGCAAGUCACUACUCGACUCUAAUAAGAAUACAACGCAAUAUGCAAAGAAGGUUGAACAGCUUCAUGAGUCUUUUGGUGAGGUAGCACACAAACUGCCUCUUGCAUUGGUCGAGCCGGUUGAAAAAAUGAUCAACCGUGAUAUUCGCUAUCGACCAACGGCUCAACUCUUCUCGUUGGUAAGUGCGGGCGUGCUUAAGUACUUCAGCGACCCAGUGGUAAAGUGUUUGCAGUACCUUGAUGUUAUUGAGCAGUCGGACAUGGCGGAUCGGUUAGAAUUUUAUUCGGGUUUGCCUGGAAUUAUUCCGACCAUACCAAAGAAAGUCCAAUAUCAACAUGUCUUCCCUGUACUGAAGGAGCAGAUGAGAGCACCUGACAUGCUGGCCCAUGUUUUCCCUUCGAUAUUGGCAAUGAUACAGAAUGCAACCAUGGAGGAGUAUAAGACCAAAAUGUUCCCUGGUGUACAGCGAGUGUUCCUUAUGCCCAAACCUGUGCAGGCUACAGUUGUAUUGCUUGAUAAUCUUGACAUCAUCCUUGCCAAGACACCAAAGGAAGAUGUAAAGACGGAAGUCAUGCCGCUUGUGUUCAAUAUGCUUGACUCAAACUCUGCCCAAGGACAGGAAGCAGCUUUGAACACAAUAGCAGCCAUCCAGGAAUACUUGGAUGAAUAUGUGAUGAAGAAGAUGGUGUUGCCCAAGGCCAAGAGCUUGUUCAACAAAUCUUCAAAUAUAAAGAUGAAGAUAAAUGCUCUCCUAUGUAUAGACAAACUUCUGGAUAAGUUAGAUAAGAUGAUAAUCUUGGAUGAGGUCUUGCCCUUCCUCACUGAUAUAACUACAUAUCAAGAUACCGAAAUUUUAAUGGCUGUGAUAGGUAUAUAUAAACAUAUGCUAAGUGACAGGAAAUUUGGUCUAACGCACAACUUGAUUGCAUCCAAAGUGAUGCCACCGCUUAUACCAUGUACGGUUUCUCCUGGGCUCAAUAUGGAACAGUUUGGUACCCUGAUGGAAGUGUUGAGAGAGAUGUUGGAGCAGAUAGACAGGCAACGACGCAAUAAGAUGAAAAUGGAGCGAAUGAAUUCUGAGGGAUCAAUCACGUCACGCCCUACUAUCAAGAUGCAUCUGAGUGUUGAGAAGCCAGAUUUAAGCCAACAGACAUUGGAUCGUCAGAGCAAUAAGAACUAUCUAUGUGUUGACGAUGCUGUACCAAUACAGAAAGUUAGGACGGUGCUGCAUGAGGACUCCAAUCUUGACUCCCCUGAAACCCCUGAAUUACUUAAGAGUUUGCUCAAUAUACGCACAGCAAAUGCCAACAUGUCCAACUCGGUCAUCCGCUACAACCCGAAGCGUCGCCACUCUUCGGCCGGGCUGCCCAUUCAUCUGUCCGCAUUAUUGGGGCAGUAUAAAGAGUACAAAGCUCCUCCACCAGCCCCAAGUACUCCGGAGAUCCAACAGAGGGCAAUGACAGGUGGUGUCUCAAGUAACCCUCUACCACGGCGACGACAUUCCAGUGUACACGGACUUGGGACAGGGCCAAAUAAUGUGCAGAAAGCCAUUGUUGUCCAAGAUCGGAUCACAGACCGGCGCUGUAGCCUUUUGAUACCUGAAGGUGUCCGCAACACACAGCAGUUCAACCCGAAUAUGCUCCUGCCUGACUCACAUCCAGAUGCACCAUUGAAUAGACGUCUCAGCACUCAGAGUCUCGGACCAGUGGUUGUUCCAGACGACAAAAGUUUGAAUAUUCCCGCCAACCGCCGACCAAGUACGCAGAGCGUAGGAGCUGUUAUAGUUCCUUCUGUUCCACCACCGUCUCAGUCUACCCCUAAACGUAGAGGCUCUUCAAAAUGGAAAGCAUGGUCAUUUGACGAGGCACUCAUCGGAACAAGAGAGGAGAGAGAGCAAAUUCACCCUUUUUGAUACAAUCAGUCCCACUCUUCAACGACGGACAAGCUUCUCUAGUUUAGGAGAGAGUGUGAUGCAGUUGUUUACUGGAAAAUCCUGAAACAGUCUAAAGAAACAAGCUUCUGUUUAACCCUCUAACAUGAAGGCUUUGAAUUCAGCCGAGGGCGCAACCAGUGGAGUGCUGGUGACGGCUAAAAGAUGACAGAUUAGGAUUAGGAUCAUCAGUGGACACCUCUCUGGUUCAGUGGCAGUAUGAGUAAGAGGGUGUAAGUUAUUAUGUAUUAGAGAUACUAAGAUGCUCAGAAGGACUAAAUUGCGUAUUAGACAUACAUUAAUAAUCAUUAUUGUGGAUUGUAACAUGCUGGAUGCUUAUUGAUUCCUCAACAGACAAGGACAAGGCCAGGAGAUGACAGAAGUUUGUUUUUUAAAAGCAAGCAGCUUCAUGGGAUAUGAUUAGAGUGUAUCGAGAUAACAAGACUUUAAAUUGCAAGACAGAAUGAGUCAAACUUGGAUCGGAACUAUUGUACAUAAUUGUUUGUGACAGUUGUAAAUAGUUGUGUAGAUAAUGUUGUAUUUCUGACCAUUGAUGUGGUGAUGGUGGAUAUAACUUGAUCAUGCAUAUCAUAGAGCACAAAUAAACUUUUUUCAGGAAAGGAGUUCCCGAGACUUUAUACAGUGUAGAUAGAAAAUGUACAUAUCAGACAUUUGUAACCCAAGUUAUGUGAUAUAUAUGUUAUAUAGAGAGCUAUAAGUAAAUGAAAAUAACUUUUACUGUGAAAAGAGGUGCCAAUUUUAUUGUGUAUUUUUAUGUGGUCCAAUAAAAUUGUGUAUCCAUGCUAUUACCAUGGGCUGGGAUAUACCAUUUGUCUGCUGUGUCGACGCAAUUUAACCGGUUGGGGCCUGUCUGUUACACAUAGACAUGUUAGGCCUUUUGUGCAGGUGUCCCUCUACCAGAUAAAUUGCAUCGACCCGGUAUCAUAAUUAUAGUACUUGUUUGUAUAACUUGGCAUGUAGUGUUUUGUCCACAUUGGUAUGUUACUCGUUGCUAUACAUAGUAGAGUGCUACGGUGCUCAUUGUCGCAUAGUAGAUGUCUAUUAUAUGGUCAAGCAGUGCACCAAUCUAUUGGUAAACUGUGGCGCAUUGUUUCUUUUUCGUUAUAAACGAAUGGCUGAACUGACAACAACAUAAUGCUACAGAUACUGACAGACCUGUUGACAUUUCUUUUGGGUACACCCGUGGUGAACCAGAUUCGUACACUGCGUUACAAGGCAGAUCACGCCGGUGUUAGCACAAAUUUUACUGAACGAGGGGGUGUCUUUCCCUCAAGCAGAUAAUCUUUUCAUAGUGGUCACAUAUCUCAGUGUACACAUAGAGAGUUGGAUAUCUGCAAUUUAUAGCAAAUCUUAUAGGUAUGCUUAUAAACACCUGCGUACGUUGAAUCGCAUAGAAAAUGUAUUGAGAAAACCCCAACUUAUUUGUAUACGUAUUCGUAUCAAUAAUAGUGAGCUUUCGCACUGGCACAUUUAGCCAAACGACGCCAUUUAGGUUAUCAGAAUUUGCGCUCUAUUGACGUGUACACACAUUUUUUUCGGAUAGAAGUACCUCAUCACGCGUAUGUUAAAAGCAGAUAGUAAAACAAGUGCAUGUAACCAGUGAGUUGUCGUUCACACAUCGUUUUUUUUUGUUGAGGUUUUCUUCAUUCAUACCAUUAGACAUAUUUCAUGUUUGGUAUUUAGUUGUUGUUAUAUUUUCGUUUUGAAGUGAAUGGCCUAUCCUUGUGAAAGGCCAUGUUUCAAUUGAUAAGAUUGAGCAUUUCGCAGGUGAUCGGUUAAUGAUCGACUACUGUUAGUUAAUCAUUUUGGGUGCUCUUCUGACAUGUGCACAUGUUCCUAUUAGUCUCAAUCUGAUUUCCGACGUCUACCAAACUUGGUAGGUGUUUAUUAAAAACUUUUACAGAAUUCAUCUGCGGUUGUCCCAAUAAAGUCGGAAUAAGAUCAAGCUUUUUGGGAAAUACAUGUAGAUUCUUAAUACCCCACCUUUUAUUUGCUGUGGUUUUAUUUAUGGUCGUUUUAAGCUGUAAAUGCAACAUUCAUAGCCGUUGAAAUGUAAGCGCAAUAACCGUCCAAAGAAAUCCUGUCUGGCUUGUUGCGUUGGCUGCGCCAAACUAGGAACAUAAGUAUUUUUCAAUCAGAUAGCAGUUUAAGGAAAAAGGCAUCCCCUGGUAAUAACUGUCUCGCGGAAGUUCUCUUACAGGAUCGUCCUAUUUAAUCUGGUGUGAAAGUAAUUAGUAAUAGUCCUACCCUAUUGUUCACAGAUUUGUCAGGGAUUUAUGGCCAAUGAAACCAAUAUCUUGUACGAAUGUAAAAUUGAAUAUCUUAUUUCGCGUUUCUUUAUAAAAUGGGGUCAGGUGGAAUCGUGACUUCCAUUGUAAAUCUUCCUUUCACCCUGUCACAAUGGGGCGCCGACUAUUAGUCAAAUAAUGCAAUACUGGCUUGCAGUUAAGUGAAGAUUUUCAUACAUGAUAUGAUAUUAUCUGCAUCUAUAUAUAUUUUAAAGAUAUUUUACAUACGAUGGGUGAGGACGUAAAAUAUCUAUUCCCACGUAAGUAAUUCGUGGAGUUAUUUCCAAAGCAUUUGCUAUUUCAAGCCGCGUAGCCCAUGAACAAAAACCGUAUCUUGGUCGGGAAACGAUCUCAAUCGCUUAUGUUGGUAUAGACCUAAGGUUGAUGCCAUGUGACUUCUUCUUAUCAAACUGGCCUUAUUGGUAUGUGCCAUUUUGAAUCAAGAAGACACGUCAGGUUUAAGGAAAUCGAGAACUCGCGAUUACAAGUGUGCCCGUAACGUAGGAUAACGAGCAUUUCGAAGCAUGGUCUUAUUUCUUCAAGAUUACAAACUCCAUGUCCCAUUCAUGUUCCUUUCGGUUAUAUUAUUCAGAGCAGAUUAAAUCAGUAACAAAAAAGCCUAUGAAAUUGAUUGAGCCAGUAAACUAAAUCGUCGUUACUUUAACGACUAAUCGUCCUGGUAAAGCCCGUAGCACACUAGCCGCCAACUUCGGCGUUCACAAGCGUUUUUUGCCGCAAGAGUCCUGAAUGCCUGAAAAAUCCCUAGUCUGCUACAAACAGCGUCGGCGAACGCGACUUGCCGCCACUUGCCGCAACUAAACGCCAAAUAUCUAACAUGUUUGAUUUUUGACGCGUGUCGCCGCGUUUGAACGCAAGAAGAAGCCAGGUGUGCUACAAAUUGCCGCCUGGCGUCGACGGCGAGGCUAUGGCCAAUCAGUAUGCGUCUUGAUGUCACAUGAUUUCAAAAUGACAGCCUAAAGUGGCGGAAAAGACGCUACUGGACGCCGAUUCUGGGCAGGUGUGCUCUGACCGGGAUCCACUGGCCGCCAACUUCGGCGUCGAGAGGUGUCGGCUGAACGCUUCUUGUCGCCAAAGUUGGCGGCUAGUGUGCUGCGGGCUUUAGGUACGAAAAGUAUGGUCUUCAACUAUCCGUCUCGGCCUGACUGGCUGCAUUUGCGAUACGGGUCAAAACGAACCGUGUUACCGGUAAGGCUGGGUUCACAUAGGGCUGCAUGCAUGCUCUACGGUAUUCGGUGCACGUUACGUAGGCCACGGGUAUAGUAAAAAUCUAACAAGGUUGUGUCAAUCACCGGAUCACAUAGGACUGAACUAUUCGGAGGGUACCAUAUACACGAAUAGUCUGAAACGUGCAAGUAACGUGCACCGAAUACCGUGCAUCCUGAAUACCGUAUAGAGUAUAGUUCUAUGUGAACCCAGCCUAACGGAUACACAUACAUGUAGCUAAAUGUAGUCGGCUUCACUAAACUCGCAGUGCGAAGGCUCGCUAAUGCAACUUGAAUGCGGAUUCGAUUCCACCAGUGCCUUGUGGCUAAUUACAGCUCGCCAUACAAAUGCGUGAUAUUUGACCAAUGGCUGUCUCUGUCGAUGACUGAUGGUAGAAGACAGAUAUAAACCUAAGUGAAUUAGUGCACUGCUAGACGAUCUGAAUGAUAGGCAAUAUUAUGUCUGCAUUAGAUAAUGAUUGCACGUACUAGGUUGAACUCGUGACUCUGAGCAUUUCAUGGCCCUGCACAAUAAACCUUCACCAUGUAAACACGACAUACACGCCAUGCACCUACUCUAGUUUUACCGGUCUAAAACCGUUUCUAGAUAUUCAAGAAACAUGAAAUAUUAUACAUUAUUGUCAUUCGGUGGCAUUCAAUGUAUUUACCCAGGACCUGAAUCUUACUAAUCAAAUAGUAAGUUGAUGUAAUUGUACUUGAAACUUCAUAUUAGUAAAUUCACUUAACAUAUAUACAUGUUCAUCACAAAGGUUUUCGGUAGUUACAUACUACCCUCCUCAGGUGAACCCAUACAUGUGAGUACAAGAAGGUUGGCUGACCAGCCUUAUAACAUAAAGCAUAAAGUGAUUAUACUAAGCUCCGAAAAUUCCAAGCAUCAUGAAUGAUGAGCCCUGUUGUACUAGCUGCCUAUUCAGAAGUGGCUUUUGGGUUUUUUUACGCACAACGCCUCUUUGAUCCUUAAAGUGUUAUCACUCUGGGCUGUUGUUAACACAGAGAAAUUCUCACGAAGAGAGAUCCCACUUCCUAACUCCAACGAGACAUUCAAACCCCUAGGACAUUUUACUUGUGCCACCCCGAAUGUGGUAUACAUACUUAGAUGUAAUAAAUGUCCCCAAAUGUACAUUGAUGAAACUUCACAAACCCUAUGUCAACGUCUCAAUUGACACAAACGGUACAUCCGUAACAAAACAUAAAUCUUCCUAUCGGGGAACACUUUAAUCUUAGAGGACAUGGUCUUCACGACUUGAGAGUGACGGUUUUACAGGGUUCCUUGGCAGACACAGGAAAAAGACGUAUUUUAUGAGCAGAAGCUUAUCCACACAUUUAAUACCAUUAGUUGUGGCCUAAACCGGAACCCAGGCUUCCUGUCUCAUUACACCCUGUAAUUUAUCCCAUUGUUUUAGCAUCUUUAUAUUAUUUCUUUUUCAUUCAUGCUUGGAUCACCCGCUCUAAUUACUUUUUCUAGACUUUCCCUGACGUCGUUUGGAUAUCCUCGUUUCGUUAGAAUUGUGCUAACAUAUAUUGAUGUAAUUUUCCAAACCUUCUCAUAGCUGUUGAAGGCACAGUUAGUGCCGAAAGCUUAUCGGGUCCUCGGACUACAUAACAGUUGAUCAUGAAAAAGGUGUUAACUUCUCAAUUUCCCUGUGAUAUGGACAAUAACAUUUGUGAUAACCAUUAGAUCCGUCAAUUUAUGACAAAAUAGGGGCCAUUUUUGAAUGUGCACAAUUGACACAACCGACUCAGAUCACCUUUUAAAGCAGUGGGAAAGGUAAGCACACCUUGUACGGGGUGAGGCAAAAGAAAUCUCACCGUUGGCCUACAAACCUGACUGAUAAAAUGUGAUAACACAACUAACAUUUUCAACAAGAUUCUUUUUGUGGUGUUCAAGCAUAACGAAACCGUGUUUCUACUCUAAAUUUUCUUCAAAAUUAACAUCAUCAUUCCCUAUUUCAUCACGGUAAUGUCCAUCAGCCUCAUUUGUCAGUCCGGCCACGUGAAAAGCCUUGGAAACGGAUUCAGGGGCUACUGCAUCCCAUGCUCGACUAACAAUAGCUACAACCGACUGUUGAAAUUUUAUCACAGUUCCCGUCAUUGUCCGUUAUUUUCUAUCUUCCAUUGUUUCCAGUACUUUCUUACUGGGGCUUUAAAACCUCUCAUUAUUGUUAAGUCAAGAGGCUGUUCCAAAGAAUUCAAAAUAAUGUACAUCAGAUUUUAUGCGAGGUUUAAAUUUACACCUCGAGGAUGUUAACUUUUGCGUCUAGAGUAGGGUUCUGGUAGCAAAAUGAGUUUGAUCAAAAGUGUGCCUUCAAAAUGUACCUCAUAAGUAUAAGGGCUGGCGUUUACAUGAACCCGUAUAUUCGUUGAUUAAUCUAAGUCGACACAAAGGCGAAGAAGGCAUAGCCGGUAACAUCAUCACCAUCGGCCAACUUGGUGUCGCCAACUCAUUGUCCAUCCAGAUUCAUGAGUUUGAAUAUAUUGAAUGGCAUCGAACGACAAUUAUGUAUGAUAAUUCUUAUUUUGGUUUACAAUGUGAUUCUUAUUUUUGCCUCUAAAUUUGUGUUUUCUGUCGAUUUUCUCCUUGAAAUCUAUCAUUACAGGUCUUAUUAUUUUUCAUAGCCUAGCUGAAUGUGUAUGCAGUUUUGUCCCUCAUCAGAUUUAUUUCAUCGCAUAAAUUGCUGGGUUUUUUGGAAAAGGUGUUUUUAUGGUCAUUUGUCCGUUUAUUUCGUGGAUAUUUUGGGUGAUGUCCGUUUACUCGAUAACUGCUUUUAAAAUCAAAUAAAGUUUUUUUAUGUAUUUGAUGUGAAUUAAUAUUACUAUCAGUCCAGUUGGAUUGUGGUUGGACGUUGACUGUUGAACAUUUGCGAGAAUGACAAAAAUAUGUUCACAUUGUUGACAGUAUAUUCUCUUAAUGAAUUAAAACAUUUCCCUUUGAGAUUGCCGGAUUGUAGAAUAGAACGUGAUCGACCAACGUGGUGUUUCUCGCCAACAUUCAUGUGUGCAUGUUUUAUUGGCUCACCGUAGGGGAGUCUAUACAACACCGCUGUGUCCGUCGUCCGUCGUCGUUGUCUGUAUCCUGUUUUGAAAACAGUUUCUUAACCGCUGAAGCUAUGAACUUGAAACUUUGUGCACAGGACCCCCAAGGUCAGGCUACCUCUGACAAUGAAUUUCAAUUCGAUCUCAUUCUUGACUUGUCCACCAGGGGGCCAGAAGUGGAAACCUAAAAAGUGUGAUAUCUCUUAUGAGUGAAUUGCUUUCGAUAAAGUGUUUAUGGUAGGUUCUCCUAGCAAGGAUACAUCACAUAUCGUACGGGCUUUUCAUUUGACGUACUCUUAAAGGUCACAGAGGUCAAAUGGCGUAAAAUGGCCGUUUGAAUGUAACUAUGGCACGUUUCUUAACCGCUAAAGCUAUCAACUUUAAAUUUGGUACACAUGACUCCCUAGGUCAUGUACCCUCUGACACUGAAUUUCAGUCCGAUCUGAUUCUUGACCUAGCCUCCAGGGGGCCAGCAGUGGAAACCUAAAAAGUGUGAUAUCUCUCUGAUGAGUGACUCGUUUUCGAAAAAAAUUAUGGUAGUUUCUCCUAGCAAGGAUACAUCAUAUAUUGUACGGUUUUUGAUUUGACCUACUUUUCAACGUCACAGAGAUCAAAUGGCGUAAAUUGACCGUUUCGUUGUAACUAUGGCACGUUUCUUAACCGCCAACGCCAUCAACUUGAAAUUUGGUACGCAUGACUCCCUACGUCAUGUGACCGAUCUGAUCUGAUUCUCGACUUCGCCACCAGAAGGCCAAAACUAAAAAGUUAAAAAGUGCAAUAUCUCGCUUAUUAGUGACUUGUUUUCUAUUAUAUUUUUAUGGUAGGUUCUCCAAGCAACGAUGCAUCACAUGUCAUACCGACUUUGGCUUGACAUAUACAAUACAUGUAGAAUGUUUCUAAACCAGGACGAAUUCCUAACCACCAAAUUUCUAUGCGGUGAGCACAAUGGCCCCUAGCAGUUUCAUAUGUUUAUUGCAAUUUAUUUCUCAUUUUUGAAGAUAAUUUCGACGUGUUCUUAUAGAGUAUUGCGUAAUGGUUUUUGAAUGAAUACUUCCAUGAGUGCGGACCGCCUUCUAAGUUUUUAAGGCGAUAAAUUGAAUCGAAGAUAUUAAAACGACUGACGUGUUGGUCCAUUAGAUUGCUUUGAUUUCUAAUUAUAACUCUACUUUCGUCAUCCCCAUGUUUUAAAGUAUGCAUCCAAUCUCUUGCAAGAGAAGAUCAAUACCGUAAAGGUGUCUUUGUUGACAAUUUUCAUGUUGACAUAUCUCUGUUUACAUUUUCUGGUUGGUCAACCAUUUUGUAUGAAGGUCUUGUGACCUUUGUAUGUUUUUAGUAUAUCAAAUAUGGAAGUUGGCUAAGCUGCAGGCCAGAUUCGAGACAUGCUUCAGGGGACUUUAGGUAAUUUCACUACUGAAGAUAGAUUGAUGGACUCUACUAUGUCUACCCUACAUUAAUGAGAAAGUAUUGAUUUGGAACACCGAACAGCUCAUGAGUCAUGUAGGACUAAAAAAUAUGGAGCGGCUCCUGUACUUGUAUUUAAUUGGCGUAGCCCCAGAGAAAGCUUUUUACUUUUACCUAAAAGUGCUGCCACCUGUAAAGUGGCGAUUCCUCCUCAGUAAUAAGGUACAAGUACCGGUACUAGCUCUAGCAUCGUGAGAAAAUCAGGCGGUGUUACUGCCACUUCUUGAUUUCUUAAGGAUGCUAGGGAUCCGGAACAGCUCCUGAUGGACUCGACAGUAUUUUUCACAUCAUAAACUACAACAUUUAUAUACAGCAGUGUGGCUCUAAUCUACAUAAUACUCUCUACGUAGCCAUAACGAAGUAAGUACACUAUAUAACACAUUUUCUGAAAACUUCAUGACAUGACAUCUGGGUUUAAGAAGGAGUUGCUGUUGUGUUGUCCUUUUGACCUCACUUGGGCUGUGGCCCUCGAUAUUACCUAAGUUUCAGUGGCCUGUGGUCUAACCAAUUCCAACCUCGUUUACCCAGGGGUCAUUGCGCGGUCCUGUGGUCACUUGCACCGACCCUGGUAUCAUGUUGAGCUAAAGCAUAUUUGAUUGGUCAACGAAUAACGUUUGACAUGCAAAUAAGAUGUAAACAAUGUUUUGACACUUGGCAUAUUCAUGGCCUAUUGAAUCGGCGAAAAAGGCGACUUAUCAGUCUACAUAACCAUUUACCCUGAUCCGAUCACAAAUCAAUUGACGGCAUGAUAGAACUUCAUGGACACGGAUAAUAUAUGAGCUAAUGCUGAUAUAAAAGAUUAAUUGCCUCCACAAGAAAAUUGCGUCAAUUAGUCUGGCAAUGCGGGCACUCCAAGCAAAAUAGAACCGAAGAAACACGUGUUACAAUACCCAAUCGCGCGAGCACCGUGAAAAUAUCAUUUCAAAAUCCCUUUUGAUAAUUCAUAUUUAUAUUUAAGACUUCUUCCUGAGAUAAUUGGUCAAUUUACAGUUAUUUGAUCGGCUACAUGUUGAAACAGUGCCGACACGUAGUGCCCGAAUAGACGGGUCAUAGGUCAAACUUACUACGUCACUCCCCAGAUUCUGGCGGUGACUAUCGAUUUGACGUACACGAGUAUCCAGGGUCAAGUGGUGCAGCCAUUUUGAACCAACCUGACGCAGAUAGGCUUGUCUUGCGUUAUUAUUCGCCAAAAUAUCGCGCGUUUGUAAGGCGAGCUGUAAUUGGGACAAGGCACAAGGCACAAGGCACUGGUGCAAUCGAACCCGCAUUCAUGUUAGAUUAUUUUACGAAUACGUCAUCACAUAAGUUGGGGUUUUCUCAAGUCGUCAUUAGCGAGCUUUCGCACCGCACGGUGAGUCAAGCCGACUACAUUUAGCUGUGCGUAUCCGUAACCGGCAAGACGGUUUGUUUUGACCCGUUUCGCAAAUGAUGCCGGUCAGGCCUAGACGGAUAAUAUUAUUGUUGACGACCAUGCUUCGUACCUACCAGUAAGUUACGUCAAUUUAGUUUACUGGCUUAAUCAAUUUCUAUUUUUGUUUGUUACCUGAAGAAUGUGAUCGAAAGGAACAUGCAUGAGACAUGGUGUUUGUCGUCCCUGUGGUUCAUAGCACUCGUUACUCUCCGUUACGGGCGUACUUGUUAUCACGGAUAACGAGCAGAGCGCAAGUUCUCAAUUUCCUACAGCAUGACGUGUCAACUUGAUUUGAAACGGCAAAUACCAAUAAGGCCAUUUUGAAGAGAAGAAGUCACAUGCAUCAAUCUAAGGUCUAUAUCAAAAUAAGCGAUCGAGAGCGUUUCCCGACGAAGAUACGUUUUUCUACGUGGGCAACGCGACGUAAAAUAACAAAUGCCUUGGAAGGAACUCUCCGAAUCACUUAUGUGGGUUUAGGCCUUUUACGUCCUCGCCCAUUCGAUGUAAAAUAUAUAGAUACAGAUAUUAUUAUAUCAUGAAUGACAAUAAAGUUUUCAU